GCCCGGUUAGCUUAGUGGUAGAGCGUUGCACUUGGUACGUCGCAUGUCGAUUCCACAAACCCCGACCCACUGCUAACCCAACCUAGUAAUUCAAGCCAUGCAAAGGUCAUUCGUUCGACUCGGAUACGGGGCA